ACGACCUUACUUGAACAGGAUCUGUUCUAUAGGCUCGUACCUCUGUAUUCUUGAUUCCUAAGAAGACAGAAACCCAUGUCUGGUUGAUGAACCAGGACCAUGUAACCAGAGCGUGAUUAACAGAGUCCAUGGUCUUGACCAUGGCUCAGUAGAGGAUCGUUGUCAGUCCAUCUUCUCUUGGGCAUUGACAUGGUUACAUGGUUGUCUGACAGACA
rnacentral:snoRNA from 1 species